rnacentral:rRNA from 1 species
ACGAACGCUGGCGGCGUGCUUAACACAUGCAAGUCGAACGGAAAGGCCCUGCUUUUGUGGGGUGCUCGAGUGGCGAACGGGUGAGUAACACGUGAGUAACCUGCCCUUGACUUUGGGAUAACUUCAGGAAACUGGGGCUAAUACCGGAUAGGAGCUCCUGCUGCCUGGUGGGGGUUGGAAAGUUUCGGCGGUUGGGGAUGGACUCGCGGCUUAUCAGCUUGUUGGUGGGGUAGUGGCUUACCAAGGCUUUGACGGGUAGCCGGCCUGAGAGGGUGACCGGCCACAUUGGGACUGAGAUACGGCCCAGACUCCUACGGGAGGCAGCAGUGGGGAAUAUUGCACAAUGGGCGGAAGCCUGAUGCAGCAACGCCGCGUGCGGGAUGACGGCCUUCGGGUUGUAAACCGCUUUCGCCUGUGACGAAGCGUGAGUGACGGUAAUGGGUAGAGAAGCACCGGCUAACUACGUG